CACCGCGCUGCGCCGCCGGCCGUCUACACGUCUACACUCGAGUCCUGACGACCUGCUCAAGGGCCUACAGCUGGUCAGGGAACUGAUGUGAUCAAGUUAAGAUGAGGACUGCGGUCCUUGCAGGAAGAGGAAACAGACAGACAGACAGACACACCGGGAAAAGGCGACCUGUUGACGGAGCCAGAGACGCGGGCGAUGCUGACACAAGCCAAGGGACAUCAGGGAUUGUCAGCAGCACCAGGAGCUGGGAAAGGAGAGGAAGGAUCCUCCCCCAGAACCUGCAGAACUGAACCUGGCUGUGAAG